CCUACGGGAGGCAGCAGUGGGGAAUUUUGGACAAUGGGCGAAAGCCUGAUCCAGCAAUGCCGCGUGAGUGAAGAAGGCCUUCGGGUUGUAAAGCUCUUUUGUCAGGGAAGAAACGGUGAGAGCUAAUAUCUCUUGCUAAUGACGGUACCUGAAGAAUAAGCACCGGCUAACUACGUGCCAGCAGCCGCGGUAAUACGUAGGGUGCAAGCGUUAAUCGGAAUUACUGGGCGUAAAGCGUGCGCAGGCGGUUUUGUAAGUCUGAUGUGAAAUCCCCGGGCUCAACCUGGGAAUUGCAUUGGAGACUGCAAGGCUAGAAUCUGGCAGAGGGGGGUAGAAUUCCACGUGUAGCAGUGAAAUGCGUAGAUAUGUGGAGGAACACCGAUGGCGAAGGCAGCCCCCUGGGUCAAGAUUGACGCUCAUGCACGAAAGCGUGGGGAGCAAACAGGAUUAGAUACCCUGGUAGUCCACGCCCUAAACGAUGUCUACUAGUUGUCGGGUCUUAAUUGACUUGGUAACGCAGCUAACGCGUGAAGUAGACCGCCUGGGGAGUCGGUCGCAAGNUUAAAACUCAAAGGAAUUGACGG
rnacentral:rRNA from 1 species